rnacentral:rRNA from 1 species
GACGAACGCUGGCGGCGUGCCUAAUACAUGCAAGUCGAACGCUUUUUCUUUCACCGGAGCUUGCUCCACCGAAAGAAAAAGAGUGGCGAACGGGUGAGUAACACGUGGGUAACCUGCCCAUCAGAAGGGGAUAACACUUGGAAACAGGUGCUAAUACCGUAUAACACUAUUUUCCGCAUGGAAGAAAGUUGAAAGGCGCUUUUGCGUCACUGCUGGAUGGACCCGGGGUGCAUUAGCUAGUUGGUGAGGUAACGGCUCACCGAGGCAACGAUGCAUAGCCGACCUGAGAGGGUGAUCGGCCACACUGGGACUGAGACACGGCCCGGACUCCCACGGGAGGUAGCAGUAGGGAAUCUUCGGCAAUGGACGAAAGUCUGACCGAGCAACGCCGCGUGAGUGAAGAAGGUUUUCGGAUCGUAAAACUCUGUUGUUAGAGAAGAACAAGGAUGAGAGUAAAACGUUCAUCCCUUGACGGUAUCUAACCAGAAAGCCACGGCUAACUACGUGCCAGCCGCCGCAGUAA